CCCAGACUCCUACGGGAGGCAGCAGUGGGGAAUAUUGCGCAAUGGGGGAAACCCUGACGCAGCAACGCCGCGUGAAGGAUGACGGCCUUCGGGUUGUAAACUUCUGUCGCAGAGGAAGAAGAAAGUGACGGUACUCUGUGAGAAAGCCACGGCUAACUACGUGCCAGCAGCCGUGGUAAUACGUAGGUGGCGAGCGUUGUCCGGAUUUACUGGGUGUAAAGGGCGCGUAGGCGGAUUUGCAAGUCAGAUGUGAAAUGCCGGGGCUUAACUCCGGAACUGCAUUUGAAACUGUAGACCUUGAGUGCCGGAGGGGAAAGCGGAAUUCCUAGUGUAGCGGUGAAAUGCGUAGAUAUUAGGAGGAACACCAGUGGCGAAGGCGGCUUUCUGGACGGUAACUGACGCUGAGGCGCGAAAGUGUGGGUAGCAAACAGGAUUAGAUACCCCAGUAA
rnacentral:rRNA from 1 species